UUUUAUGUAGUUUAACAAAACAUUACAUUUUCAAUGUAAAGAUAUUAUAUUAUAUUAAUCAUAAAUU
rnacentral:tRNA from 1 species